UACGAAGGGGGCUAGAGUUGUUCGGAAUUACUGGGCGUAAAGCGCACGUAGGCGGACUUGCCAGUCAGGGGUGAAAUCCCGAGGCUCAACCUCGGAACUGCCUCCGAUACAGCAAGUCUCGAGUCCGGAAGAGGUGAGUGGAAUUCCUAGUGUAGAGGUGAAAUUCGUAGAUAUUAGGAAGAACACCAGUGGCGAAGGCGGCUCACUGGUCCGGUACUGACGCUGAGGUGCGAAAGCGUGGGGAGCAAACAGG
rnacentral:rRNA from 1 species